UCUAGGUGAACCUGCGGAGGGAUCAUUACCGAGUUAUCCAACUCCCAACCCCUGUGAAUCAUACCUUUAAUUGUUGCUUCGGCGGGACUUCGCGCCCGCCGGGGACCCAAACCUUCUGAAUUAUAAAUAAGUAUCUCUGAGUGGUUAAAAAAAAUGAAUCAAAACUUUCAACAACGGAUCUCUUGGUUCUGGCAUCGAUGAAGAACGCAGCGAAAUGCGAUAAGUAAUGUGAAUUGCAGAAUUCAGUGAAUCAUCGAAUCUUUGAACGCACAUUGCGCCCGUCAGUAUUCUGGCGGGCAUGCCUGUUCGAGCGUCAUUACGCCCCUCAAGUCCCCUGUGGACUUGGUGUUGGAUCGGCGAGGCUGGUUUUCCAGCACAGCCGUCCCUUAAAUUAAUUGGCGGUCUCGCCGUGGCCCUCCUCUGCGCAGUAGUAAAGCACUCGCAACAGGAGCCCGGCGCGGUCCACUGCCGUAAUAUCCAACUUUAUAGUUGACCUCGAAUCAGGUAGGACUAGCGGAGGAUAUAGAC
rnacentral:rRNA from 1 species